rnacentral:lncRNA from 11 species
CAAUCACAGGCGACCUACCCACACCUGUGAGAUGUGCUACUGAAACACUGUUGCAUCUGCAACUGUCGGAACACUGUGGUUCAAAGCAGCCAGUCCUAGCCUUGCAGAGCAACUAGAAGCAAACAUCCAAGCCACCUUUAUGGCUGAUUUCUCUGGUUGAAGUACUUGAUUGUACUUUGUUUAACAAAGCAACCAAACCAUUCCAUGCUGGAAAAUGCCUCCAUGGAUAGUUAAUGACCAAGGGAAGGAAGACACCCAAGCAGCAUUAGAAGACAUCUUUCUCCAGCAUCUCCAGAGUGCUCGUGUGUAUACUGUAUACAAAGGACGCAGAAAUCCUUGGUGAGUCAAACACAGCAAGGAGAUGACAACAGUGUUCAGUUCAUAAACAACUUUACAGACAUCGAGGAAGAGUCUAUGGGAUUGUGAGCAAAAGCCCUGUAGAAAACUGUAGUCCCUCAAGAUUGUGGAAUUCACAUUUCAUUCAGAAUGUAACUGCCAGCUCAAAAUUAGAGGGUAGAUUCACUGCAGUUUCUUAACCCAAAGAGUCUAUGCACAAGAGAGCUCCAAUUCUAUAAUAUAGCCAACUGAUGUAGCAAGCUAUAAGCAUUCAAGCCCCAGUCGUCCUGUUCAACUGAAAAUCUGAGAAUGCUUCUUUGAAAUAUGUUAUAUUGAUAAUGAUGCUCGUGUUCAAAUUCACGUUUUUACAUAAGGGUUUGAAUUCAGAUUAAGUUUCAACAAAGUAGGAUAGUCUCGUGUUCUUUCUCUCCAGUUCUUCCUACUUCUUAGCUUCCUAAUGAUGCUCCACAGAUAAAUGUGUUGAGAAGUGAUCCCGUUGAGAGAGGAGACCCCUUUUCCAAAUGGAAUGGAGGCAGAAGGUGGAGCCUAUAUCCAUUUCCGUAUAUCUGUUUUCCAGUAUUAUUCUUAAGAACAGUAAUAUGGGAACACCAAAUAAUUUCAGUGCUAAAGAUUUGAACUUAUGAUAGAAUACUCCAGAAGAAUUUGUGCAGUUCAGUGCUAGGCAUCAUUGUUCAGGAUUUGUUUACCUUGAGUUUACAUAGGUUUGCAACCUCAGAUAUUUUCAACCCUCUGGUAUAUCAAAAAUACAUCUUAAACUUACUAGCAUUAUAUACAAAGGAAAUAGAAAAUGAAAAGUGUUUUAGCUUAUGAGGAAAAACAACAAAAAAGAUAUUAAGGGAAAGAUUUUGUCACCCAGCAUUUGAGUUGCUCGCAUUGUUCUUCUUUUUCUGCAAAAAAAAGUUUUUGUAUCUGCUGCUCAUUCAAAUUUGGAGAAACUUCCAAUUAAUUAUUACUCAUUAAAAGCCAGGGAUAUUUCUUUCUUUCUUUUCUUUUUUCUUCCUUUGUUC